GCUCCAGUGGCCUAGUGGUUAGAGUGUCUCUCCUGGAUUCGGGAGGUCAUGGGUUCGAUCCCCAGUCGAGUC